GAUGAACGCUGGCGGCGUGCCUAAUACAUGCAAGUCGAGCGAACGGACGAGAAGCUUGCUUCUCUGAUGUUAGCGGCGGACGGGUGAGUAACACGUGGAUAACCUACCUAUAAGACUGGGAUAACUUCGGGAAACCGGAGCUAAUACCGGAUAAUAUUUUGAACCGCAUGGUUCAAAAGUGAAAGACGGUCUUGCUGUCACUUAUAGAUGGAUCCGCGCUGCAUUAGCUAGUUGGUAAGGUAACGGCUUACCAAGGCAACGAUGCAUAGCCGACCUGAGAGGGUGAUCGGCCACACUGAAACUGAGACACGGUCCAGACUCCUACGGGAGGCAGCAGUAGGGAAUCUUCCGCAAUGGGCGAAAGCCUGACGGAGCAACGCCGCGUGAGUGAUGAAGGUCUUCGGAUCGUAAAACUCUGUUAUUAGGGAAGAACAUAUGUGUAAGUAGCUGUGCACAUCUUGACGGUACCUAAUCAGAAAGCCACGGCUAACUACGUG
rnacentral:rRNA from 1 species